rnacentral:tRNA from 1 species
GGGGUAGUGCUGGAAUUGGCAGACAGGCUUGGUUUAGGCCCAAGUGCCUUCGGGCGUGUGAGUUCGAGUCUCACCUACCCUA